CAACUACUUUAAAUGAAAUGUCCUUAAAAGACUGUUCUGGAGUCCCUGAGAGCCCUACCAAGCAGACAUCACAGACUCCAGUGCAGUGAAGUGCCUCAUGCAAAGGAGUUGAGAUUCCUAGGAUAUCCAGACGUGAUUCAUCACAUCAAGAGCAAAGCAGAAAUCCUACGGUGCUGUGUAAGGUUAGCUGCUUAUGUUCUGGUUUCCUACAUCUUCUUAAUGCCUUACAGAAUUAAGUCCUGCUGACUGUAAUGAAAGUCUGUAAAAUUAUUAGAUACUUAAUAACAAUAUAUUGUAUAAGGCAAUGUCAGCAGAUUGGCAUUAACAAUAACGUAGAUCUUACCUACAGAAUUCUAC
rnacentral:lncRNA from 1 species